CGAGCCCGCGCGGGAGAGUCCCCGUCAGUGAAAACCGCUGGUAGGGGCGCCGAAGGAGCAACUCCUCCCCGGAAUCUCUCAGGCAUCAGUACCGUGCGGGAUAG
rfam:Streptomyces rubellomurinus strain ATCC 31215 contig-33, whole genome shotgun sequence.